rnacentral:rRNA from 1 species
CGUGAUACCAAAGGGAGUUAUAAGCUUCCGCUUGAAGAGGAGGUCGCGGCGUAUCAGCUAGUUGGUAGGGUAACGGCCUACCAAGGCGACGACGCGUAGCGGGUCUGAGAGGACGACCCGUCACAUUGGGACUGAGAUACGGCCCAGACUCCUACGGGAGGCAGCAGUGGGGAAUGUUGCGCAAUGGCCGAAAGGCUGACGCAGCGACGCCGCGUGUGGGAGGAAGCCCUUCGGGGUGUAAACCACUGUCGGGAGGGACGAAUCGCGAACGGGCAAAUAGCCCGGGCGCUUGACGGUACCUCCAAAGGAAGCACCGGCUAACUCCGUGCCAGCAGCCGCGGUAAGACGGAGGGUGCAAGCGUUGUUCGGAAUUACUGGGCGUAAAGCGCGGGCAGGUGGCCUUUUAAGUCCUUUGUGAAAUUCCGGAGCUCAACUCCGGAUGUGCAUAGGAUACUGGAAGGCUAGAGACUGGUAGAGGCGAGCGGAAUUCCUGGUGUAGCGGUGGAAUGCGUAGAUAUCGAGAGGAACACCUGCGGCGAAGGCGGGUUGCUGGGCCGACAC